GCCGGGUGUGGUGGCGGGCGCCUGUAAUCCCAGCUACUUGGGAGGCUGAGGCAGGAGAAUUGCUUGAGCCCGGGAGGCAGAGGUUGCAGUGAGCUGAGAUUGUGCCAUUGCACUCCAGCCUGGGCGACAGAGCAAGACUCCGUCUCAA
rnacentral:SRP_RNA from 1 species